UCUACAUGGUACUGCCCCCACUGAAGAUGGAAUUCAACAUAAAAACUAUCUUGGGCUCCACCAAAGACAUCACUGAAGCACCAAAAGGCCUCCAGGAUGUAGCAUCUCAGGAUAUACUGAGGGUUAUAGUGUAUUCUGCAGAAUUGGGUUUGAAAAAUGAAGAAGGUAGAUGGAGGUUAGAGUAAAUUUCUCUCCUACUGAAGGUUUCUUGAACCCGUGGCCAUCAGCCCAUUCACUGAAUGCUGCAUGUCCUUGAAGCACUGUUGACUUGCUUCUUGCUGCAUGAGGACUCAUCAGAGAAAUACUGCUUCAUGACAUCCCGAGACUCUGGCCCCCAAACUUCAGUGUCCAAGCUCGUGGGAAAGACGAUGCAUUUUGCUAGAGGAGAAGGUUACCUGGGCCUGGAACCCAAACACGUUCCCAGAAGUCCUUUGACAUCUCCCUACCAAAUCCAUGGUCACCGUCUUGCAAAAUGGUGGUGCUCACGUUCAUAUUCUCACUGUGGAUCUCAACUUUUUUCAUUGUGCUGACUUCCUUUGCUGUGGUGGAGCUUUGCAUGGUCUGGGAGGAUAAGGGACUCAGCAUUUUCGCAUCAGUUAGUAGAGACUCUUCCUCCUUGCCUUCAGUUCAUCAAAUCACUAACCAACGAGCAGCAUCACACGGAGAGCCCCAAGCAAAGGUCUCAGGUGGCAGUCCCUGGGAUGUUCUAGCUUUUGUGUUCCUGAGACUUUGCAAUUAGUUUGUAUCCUUUGCCUUGAUGACCAGAGGGUCCAAAAUCAUAACUUCAGAGUGCAAUGAAAGAAAAUAAUAUUUUGUCCGACUGCAGCAAAUACAGCCUCAAAUUUAUUCCACUGAUUAUUCUUCAAACCAGAAAAGAUGCGUGUCAACAUAGAAAUGGUCUUUGUUAAUGGGGAACCAACUCCAUGACUGCAUACUCUUGAUUCUCAGUCACUGAAGCCAGUUUCCUAUUUGUGGGACAAGGAUGUCUCGCACAAAGCUCUCUCCUGUAAGAUAAUAGCAGCUAAUACCUUAGUACCUACAACUGGAAGGCUUGGUAUGAAAGUUUCUACGUCUCUUAGAUGAGGGACAGCCUGUGGUCUCCACGAUGGGAUCCAGUUCUUUCUGCCCAUUCGUGGAGUGACUUGGAGAACAGGAAGCUGGUUUGCUGAAGGACCACUGGGCAGAGAGCCAACUGCAGGUGCUGAUGCCCAGAGGGUCAGUGCAAGAUGUGAGUUGAAGUUGGUAGAGGCAUGACAGCUUGGAUCCCUGAAUGACCGUGUGGAGCGGAGGUUUCCGCUGCCCCUCAACACAAGCUCUACACUGUGCACGGAAGUGACCAUGUCUGAGCCACCACGUUGGAUCUGUUUGUAGAUGCAGCUUACUCUACCUUGACGCACUACCUCUGGUAUUCACAAUUCUGACUACGUGUUGCUUGAUUCUCAAGUGGAUUUUUGAGCAGCCAUCAAAUCAUGUCUGAGGUCUGUCUACUGAGGCGAAGUCACAUAAAGCAGCGCUGAAACUAAUGAGUCUCUGGAAUGACUUUGACAUCUACCAUUUGAACCUGUCUCCAGUGGCAAUCCAAAAGAGCAUGGUUGAUCUUCAUCAAAAACAGUGAUUUUGAUUCUCCUAUUCAACACAUCGCUUGUUCUUUGAAGAACCAAAUCAAAGAUAUUUAAACAAAU